ensembl:rRNA 5S_rRNA 5S ribosomal RNA
UUGUCUGGUCAUACCAUAGUGAAAGUGCCCAAUCUCUCAUGUCUGACCUUGGAAGCUAAGCAGGGUCAGGUCUGGUUAGUACUUGGAUGGGAGAAAAUCUUAGCUCAACUCAGU